AAAAAUGACUCUCGGCAACGGAUAUCUCGGCUCUUGCAUCGAUGAAGAACGUAGCGAAAUGCGAUACUUGGUGUGAAUUGCAGAAUCCCGUGAACCAUCGAGUCUUUGAACGCAAGUUGCGCCCAAAGCCAUUUGGUUGAGGGCAUGCCUGCCUGGGUGUCGUG
rnacentral:rRNA from 1 species